rnacentral:rRNA from 1 species
UACGUAGGGUGCGAGCGUUGUCCGGAAUCAUUGGGCGUAAAGCGCGUGUAGGCGGCCCGGUAAGUCCGCUGUGAAAGUCGGGGGCUCAACCCUCGAAAGCCGGUGGAUACUGUCGGGCUCGAGUGCGGAAGAGGCGAGUGGAAUUCCUGGUGUAGCGGUGAAAUGCGCAGAUAUCAGGAGGAACACCGAUUGCGAAGGCAGCUCGCUGGGACGUUACUGACGCUGAGACGCGAAAGCGUGGGGAGCAAACAGG